rnacentral:miRNA from 10 species
ACGGACGAAAGCCUCAGUUAGAUC